UUUUCCCUAUUGGUCCUUAAAUGCCCAAUUAAAAUAAAUCUAUCAUCAUUAUAUUAAUGUAUUAUAAUUUACAUAUAUGAACAGUAAUGAGGACACUAUAUAACCAGUCCUAUAAAUUCCUUCAAAUUAUGAUGUAAAAUGUACAGUUUCUUAAAUUCAUGCAGAAUUUUUAAAGAGUUUUGCUGUUCAGAAGUUAUGAAAUAUCAAUUAAGUUGCUCAUUAAGUAAAUAUUUGUGGUAAAAAUUAUCAUCUGAAGCCACUCGACCGAAUUUGUAUUUCUUUAUGUAAUUUAGUUUCCAAAACCACAACUUUGGAUCUGUUUGGAUAAUGAAGUUAGUGAAUUAACAAUUCUUAAAUUGGUUUGAAUUGUGAUAAAACACUUGUACAAAUAGAAGAACCAUUUCACCUUGUGUGUUAUAUACGUGACUAUGACACUUAAUCCUCUAUUGACUACAUAAUUAUAUGGUUAAUUAUUGCAAUGAUUUCACUGAUUUGGUGUAAUACACCUCACUUCAUACCUGAGGAGUUAAAACAGUAGGGGGCCGAGCAGUAGUAAAUGUGCUGGGAUGUGGAUCCAUUGUUCACGCCCUGUUACCAACAAAGGAAAUGCACUCUGCUCAUUGGGUGUGUGGAUGCAUUAUAAAAGUGACAGUCAAAUCCCACCAUUGAUUGGAGUAGCCCACAAGUGUUAACUACCUGACUUCCCUCUAGUCUAUCACUUCCAACUUAGGGACAACUAGCACAAAUAGUCCUUGAGUAGCUUUGCGCCAAAAUCAGCAAGCAACGCCAAAAUCAGCAAGCAACGACAGUUAAAAAAAGUAAAUUAAAUGUCUUUAAUUUGUUUCAUUUUUGACAGGUUUGAUUUUACUAGCUCUUUAAAAUGUUUGGGGUACAUUUUGUUUUUGUUAAUUAUCUCACUUAAUAUAUAGGAAUGUUGA